AGAACGAACGCUGGCGGCAUGCCUAAUACAUGCAAGUCGAACGAACUCUUCGGAGUUAGUGGCGCACGGGUGCGUAACGCGUGGGAAUCUGCCCCUUGGUUCGGAAUAACAGUUGGAAACGACUGCUAAUACCGGAUGAUGACGAAAGUCCAAAGAUUUAUCGCCAAGGGAUGAGCCCGCGUAGGAUUAGCUAGUUGGUGAGGUAAAGGCUCACCAGGCAACGAUCCUUAGCUGGUCUGAGAGGAU
rnacentral:rRNA from 1 species